UACGUAGGCAGCAAGCGUUGUUCGGAGUUACUGGGCGUAAAGAGUGCGUAGGUGGUGCCCUAAGUCUGUUGUGAAAUCUCCCGGCUUAACUGGGAGGGUGCGGUGGAAACUGGGGUGCUUGAGUGUGGGAGAGGUAAGCGGAAUUCCUGGUGUAGCGGUGAAAUGCGUAGAUAUCAGGAGGAACACCUGUGGUGUAGACAGCUUACUGGACCAUUUCUGACGCUGAGACACGAAAGCGUGGGUAGCAAACAGG
rnacentral:rRNA from 1 species